CUGGGCUACACACGUACUACAAUGGUAGGGACAGAGGGCAGCCAACCCGCGAGGGCGAGCUAAUCCCGUAAACCCUGCCUCAGUUCAGAUUGCAGGCUGCAACUCGCCUGCAUGAAGGCGGAAUCGCUAGUAAUCGCAGGUCAGCAUACUGCGGUGAAUCCGUUCCCGGGCCUUGUACACACCGCCCGUCGACGCGGCCG
rnacentral:rRNA from 1 species